GAAACAUCGUCCAGAUUUCUUUUUUUUUAAUUUGUGGGUUAGCUUUGAAUUGUUUCAGCCAUGGGACCGUGACUUAUGACUUUUAUUAAGUGAUGUCUGCAGAGCAACGUUGUCAGCUGGUACCUCUCCAUCUGCCGCUCCUUCCCUAAACUAGCACAGUCAACGCGGCAGGAAAACUGUAUAAAUAUUAGUGAGUGGGGAAGCUCCCGUCACAGUGUCAUCCACACUGCUGCAGGUGGGUGAGCAGCACCUGCCACACAGUGUCAUCCACACUGCUGCAGGUUAGAGGACUCGGACGCCUGUUGAUGAUGUGGGUGUGUUAUCUAUUGUUAGUGGGCGUGGUGGAAGGCGUGGGGGUGGGCCUGAGUGUGGAGGAGUUUUCCAACAUUCACUCACUCGACACCAUCAUCAGCACGUACCUGAGGACUUAUCUGCGUCAGCACCAGCAGGAGAAACAUCUUCAAGACACUGUACUGCAUCCAUAUUUCCUGACACACCUCGAUUUGGUGGCCAGGUACCUCGAGGAGUACGACAAGGUGGUGGUGCCGCUAGCCAGCAGGACCCAGAGUGUAGGAGGUGGGCCCGAAGCUGGCCAGGACGCCGUGUUGUGCCUGCUGCUGCUGCGACGCCUGCUGCACGACUGGUCCAAGCUUAGGGAUGCUCCUCUCACACACCAACACUGGCUGGGUGACGCUCAAUGUCUUCAUAC